UUUUAAAAAUUAUUAAAGUUAAAAAUUUAAUUAGGUUUAAUUUAAAUAAAUUAUAGAUUUAGUAUUGUAAAUAAAAAAUUAUUUUUAAUUAUAGUUUAUUAGUAAUGUGAGUGAAUUUAAAGAAAUAUAAAAAAGAAAAAUUAAGAUUUUGUACCUUGGGUAUCAGGGUUGAUUAAAUAUAUAUAAAAAAGUUUGUUUUCUCGAAUUUAAAAGAGCUAUAAGUUUAUUUAUUUUAUUGUAGAAUAAAUAUUUAAAAUAAAUUUAUUGUAAUGAAACGUUAUUCGUUUUUAAAUAUAUCUAGUUUUUAAAGAAAUUAAUUCAAUUAAAUUAUUUAAUAUUAAUUUUAUAAUUUAAAAUUUGAUUAAUUUAAAUAUUCUAUAGUUUUAGGGAUUAGCUUAAAAUUAAAAUUUUAUAAAUAAAUAAUAAUUUUUAAAUUGUAGAAUUAGAAGUGUUUAUCAAUAAAAUAUUGUUAUAAAUGAUUUUUUAAAAAUAAAAUUUAUAUUUAUUUUAAGUUUUUUAUUUAAAUUUAAUUUAAAAUUAUUUAAAUUUAUUAAUAAUGAUUAAAUUAGUACAAUUAAAUUUUAAAUUUAUUAAAAUUUUAAAUUUUUUAAUUAGGAAUUCGGCAAAAAUUUUUUUCACCUGUUUAUUAAAAACAUGGCCUUUAGAAAUUAAUUUAAGGUCUGGCCUGCCCACUGAGGAAUUAAAUGGCCGCAGUAAUUUGACUGUGCUAAGGUAGCAUAAUCAAUAGUUUUUUAAUUGAAAGCUAGAAUGAAAGGUUAAAUGAGAAAAAUACUGUCUUAUUAAAAAUAAUGGAACUUUAUUUUUAAAUAAAAAAGUUUAAAUAAAAUUAAAAGACGAGAAGACCCUAUAGAGUUUUAUAAUUUUUGAUGAUUAGUAUUUAAGAAUUUAAAAAAUUAAUCAUUAAGAAUUAUUUGAUUGGGGUGAUUAUAAAAUUAAAUUAACUUUUAUAUAUUUUUUCACUGAUUUGUGAUUUUUUGAUCCAUAAAAAUGAUUAAAAGACUAAAUUACCUUAGGGAUAACAGCGUAAUUUUUUUAGAGAGUUCUAAUCGAAAAAAGAGUUUGCGACCUCGAUGUUGGAUUAAAGUUAAAUUUUGGCGGAGAAGUUAAAAAUUUUAAGUCUGUUCGACUUUUAAAACUUUACAUGAUCUGAGUUUAAACCGGUGUGAGCCAGGUUGGUUUCUAUCUUUAAUUAAUUAAAAUAUUUUAGUACGAAAGGACCAAAUAUCUAGUUUAAAAUUUUUAUUUUGAAUUUUA
rnacentral:rRNA from 1 species